GCGGAUGUGGCGGAAAUGGCAGACGCACCAGAUUUAGGUUCUGGCGCCGCAAGGCGUGGAGGUUCAAGUCCUCUCAUCCGCACCA
rnacentral:tRNA from 1 species